ACUCUGGUGGCCUAGUGGUUAUAGUGUCUGCCUUGGAAGUGGGAGGUCAUGGGUUCAGACCCCAGCCAAAUCGUA